rnacentral:rRNA from 1 species
ACUCCUACGGGAGGCAGCAGUGGGGAAUAUUGCACAAUGGGGCGCAAGCCUGAUGCAGCCAUGCCGCGUGUGUGAAGAAGGGCCUUCGGGGUUUGAUAAAUGCACUUUUCAGUCGUGAGGGAAGGUAGUGUAGUUAACUAGCUGCAUUAUUUGACGUUAGCGACAGAAGAAGGCACCGGCUAACUCCGUGCCAGCAGCCGCGGUAAUACGGAGGGUGCGAGCGUUAAUCGGAAUUACUGGGCGUAAAGCGCAUGCAGGUGGUUUGUUAAGUCAGAUGUGAAAGCCCGGGGCUCAA